UCCCCUAGUAACUGCGAGUGAAGCGGGAAAAGCUCAAAUUUAAAAUCUGGCGGCUUUGCCGUCCGAGUUGUAAUCUGGAGAAGCGUUUUCUGUGUCGGACCGUGUACAAGUCUCUUGGAACAGAGCGUCAUAGAGGGUGAGAAUCCCGUCUUUGACACGGACUACCGAUGCUUUGUGAUGCGCUCUCGAAGAGUCGAGUUGUUUGGGAAUGCAGCUCAAAAUGGGUGGUAAAUUCCAUCUAAAGCUAAAUAUUGGCGAGAGACCGAUAGCGAACAAGUACCGUGAGGGAAAGAUGAAAAGCACUUUGGAAAGAGAGUUAAACAGUACGUGAAAUUGUUGAAAGGGAAACGCUUGAAGUCAGUCGCGUCGUCCGGGACUCAGCCUUGCUUUUGCUUGGUGUACUUUCCGGUUGACGGGCCAACAUCGAUUUUGGCUGGUGGAUAAAGGCAAGGGGAAUGUGGCACCCUCGGGUGUGUUAUAGCCUCUUGUUGCAUACGCUGGCUGGGAUCGAGGACCGCAGCAUGCCUUUUUGGCCGGGGUUCGCCCACGUAACAUGCUUAGGAUGUUGGCGUAAUGGCUUUAAACGACCCGUCUUGAAACACGGACCAAGGAGUCUAACAUGCCCGCGAGUGUUAGGGUGGAAAACCCUUGCGCGUAAUGAAAGUGAAAGUUGGGACCUCUGUCGCGGAGGGCACCGACGCCCGGCCUUGAACUUCUGUGACGGUGCCGCGGUGGAGCGUGUAUGUUGGGACCCGAAAGAUGGUGAACUAUGCCUGAAUAGGGUGAAGCCAGAGGAAACUCUGGUGGAGGCUCGUAGCGAUUCUGACGUGCAAAUCGAUCGUCAAAUUUGGG
rnacentral:rRNA from 1 species